rnacentral:rRNA from 1 species
UACGAAGGGGGCGAGCGUUGUUCGGAAUUACUGGGCGUAAAGGGCGCGUAGGCGGCCUGCUAAGUCGGACGUGAAAUCCCUCGGCUCAACCGGGGAACUGCGUCCGAUACUGGCGGGCUUGAAUCCGGGAGAGGAAUGCGGAAUUCCAGGUGUAGCGGUGAAAUGCGUAGAUAUCAGGAGGAAUACCGAUGGCGAAGGCAGGUCUCUGGGGCUGACACUGACGCUCAUGCACGAAAGCGUGGGGAGCAAACAGG